rnacentral:rRNA from 1 species
AAACCAGCACCUCAAGUGGUCAGGAGGAUUAUUGGGCCUAAAGCAUCCGUAGCCGGCUCUGUAAGUUUUCGGUUAAAUCUGUAUGCUCAACAUACAGGCUGUCGGGAAUACUGCAGAGCUAGGGAGUGGGAGAGGUAGACGGUACUCGGGAGGAAGGGGUAAAAUCCUUUGAUCUAUUGAGGACCACCUGUGGCGAAGGCGGUCUACCAGAACACGUUCGACGGUGAGGGAUGAAAGCUGGGGGAGCAAACCGGAUUAGAAACCCCAGUAGUCC